GUGUUCACUUUGGCAUCACGUAUACUAAAAUCGGCACAAUGUAGAGAAGAUUCGCAAGGCUCUUGCACAAGGAUGACAUGCGAAAGAUUUAUAAUUACAUUCU
rfam:Tupaia chinensis contig90872, whole genome shotgun sequence.